rnacentral:rRNA from 1 species
CUCGGUGCUCUUGAUUGAGUGACGAGGGUGACCCGAACNNNNUACUUUGAAAAAAUUAGAGUGUUCAAAGCAGGCCAUGCGCCUGAAUAGCAGAGCAUGGAAUAAUGGAAUAGGACCUUGGUUCUAUUGCGUUGGUUUUCGGAACUCGAGGUAAUGAUUAAGAGGGACUGACGGGNGCAUUCGUAUUGCGGUGUGAGAGGUGAAAUUCUUGGAUCGCCGCAAGACGACCGACUGCGAAAGCAUUUGCCAAGAAUGUUUUCAUUAAUCAAGAACGAAAGUUAGAGGUUCGAAGGCGAUCAGCAUACCGCCCUNGUUCUAACCAUAAACGAUGCCGACUGGCUAUCCGCCGGCGUUACUCCAAUACGGCGGCNNNCAGUCUACGGGAAACCAAAGUCUUUGG